UGGCGAACGGGUGAGUAACGCGUGAGGAACCUGCCUCAAAGAGGGGGACAACAGUUGGAAACGACUGCUAAUACCGCAUAAGCCCACGGGUCGGCAUCGACCUGAGGGAAAAGGAGCAAUCCGCUUUGAGAUGGCCUCGCGUCCGAUUAGCUAGUUGGUGAGGUAACGGCCCACCAAGGCGACGAUCGGUAGCCGGACUGAGAGGUUGAACGGCCACAUUGGGACUGAGACACGGUCCAA
rnacentral:rRNA from 1 species